CUCAAUAAGAGAAUUAUACCGCAGACAGCAGGUGCCGCUAAUGGCUUAAUUCCCUGCCGAGGUGUGACCAUAUUGUACAGAUCAGCAUUGUUCAUGUAUAAACGGCGCCUCCAUGUCUAGCAUGGAGGCUUUUUCAUGCGAACA
rfam:Bacillus sp. SJS contig_10, whole genome shotgun sequence.